rnacentral:lncRNA from 1 species
UUUUCCCUAGGGGAGCAGUCGAGGUUUACCGCUUUGCUGUCCGGCCCUGGGGUGCAGACUGUGUCCCUCGCGACCGAGGCCGAGGAGGGCAGUGCCACGAACUGCUCUCGCAAACUAUGUCAUCGGGUCCUCUGAAAGGAUUUUGUUAACGUGGCCGUAUUAUAUUUACAAGAGAGAAAAAAAACAUUUGUAUAUCCAAUUAGAAGCCAUUAUUCUGGAGAAAGAUAUUUAGAAAAACGAAAACCCUUGCUUGGUGUUGUGGAUUGAUUGACGUGCCAACCGGCCUUUAUUUAAUGGAUGUUUCACCCGUAUCCAUAUAUCGAGACGUUUCAUUUAUUAUUUACUCAUCUAGAUUAGAUGGUAUUUUUGCCUCCGUUUGCAACUCUCAAAUUUGUUCUGUAGUUGUCCACCUUGAGGUGGAUGGUAGUUUGGGGAAGGCAGUUCCUUACUAGAAGGAUAUGGGACAUUGGUUUGAAGUCUUUCUGUAAAACCAAAUUUUUCUUGCCCUCUUUUUUUUUUUUUUUAAUGAAAGUAACCUCCCCGUUUUGCUUAUAAUUUGUUAUUACCUGUUUGAGAACUCACUGGUUUAGGGUCUGGCUUAGUUUUGUGUGUACUUCACCUUCACCUGGCCAUUCAGCACUUUAGAAAUAAAAGUCCUUCCUGGGUUUGGUGCUGCACACCUUUGCCAGCACUGGGCAAGCAGAGGCAGUCGGGUCUCUUGUAAGUUGGAGGCAAGCCUGGUUGGUCUAUGUUGUAGUUCCAAGACCACCAGGGCUAUGUAGAGAGAUCCUGUCUCAAAACAACAAAACUUAAACACACACACACACCAGCAAACAUACAGAAGAAGAGAAGUAAAAGUCCUGAGCCUUUUCACCUGCAUUAUAUCUGUGUAAGGGUCCCUUAGAACUGGAAUCAGACAGUGACCUGCCAUGUGGUUGUUGAGAAUUGAACUCGGAUCCUCUUGAAAAGCAGCAGUGCUGUUAAGCACUGAGCCAUGUCUCCAGUCCCCUCUAUCUAUCUAUCUCUUUAUCUAUCUAUUGCUAAUGUUAGCAGGAAGAAUUUUGCUAGUUGCAAUCCCAUGAGCAGAAACAAAUGAUGUGGCUGGUCCUAAGGAACUGAAACCAAAGUCUCCUUUUGCUUAGGUCUUAUUUUAUAGUUGUGAUGUGAUUAAUAUUGACAAGACAUGGCACCAUUUGCCCAAGAGGAUAAAGGAUUCUCAGAGUCUUUAACUUAAUGAGAAGGGGAGGUAUAAGUUCCAUAAUGAGUUCUUAUUUCUCUUCAUUUCCUUUGUAAAUUUGGAUCCUUAGGAAGAGGAAGGCAUCCCUGGAGUGGUUUCUUUACUGUACUUCCAUCAGAAGAGUGAGAGAUGGAACCUG